CUUGCCAGGGAACUACGAGCCCCAGCUUAAAACCCAAAGGACUUGGCGGUGCUUUAGACCCACCUAGAGGAGCCUGUUCUGGAACCGAUAACCCCCGUUAAACCUCACCCUCUCUUGUUUUCCCCGCCUAUAUACCACCGUCGUCAGCUUACCCCAUGAGGGUUUAAUAGUGAGCACAAUUGGCAUAACCCAAAACGCCAGGUCGAGGUGUAGCGCACGAGAGGGGAAGAAAUGGGCUACAUUUACUGACCCAGUAAACACGAAUAAUGCCUUGAAACAGACAUUUGAAGGAGGAUUUAGCAGUAAGGAGGAAUAAGAGUGCCCUCCUGAAACUGGCCCUGAAGCGCGCACACACCGCCCGUCACUCUCCCCAAACUAAACAAAUUGAUAAAUAAACAACAAAUUAAAUAAAGGGGAGGCAAGUCGUAACAUGGUAAGUGUACCGGAAGGUGCACUUGGAAAAAU
rnacentral:rRNA from 1 species